rnacentral:rRNA from 1 species
AUUGAACGCUGGCGGCAGGCCUAACACAUGCAAGUCGAGCGAGCGGCGGACGGGUGAGUAAUGUAUGGGGACUGCCCGAUAGAGGGGGAUAACUCAUGGAAACGGUAGCUAAUACCGCAUACUAUCGGAUAACCCAUAUGGGAUAAGCUAGUAGGUGGGGUAAAGGCUCACCUAGGCGACGAUCGCUAGCUGGUCUGAGAGGAUGAUCAGCCACAAUGGGACUGAGACACGGCCCAGAAUCCUACGGAGGCAGCAGUGGGGAAUAUUGCGAAAUGGGCGCAAGCCUGAUGCAGCCAGGCAGCGUGGAUGAAGAAGGCCUGAGGGUUGUAAAGUACUUGCAUCGGGGAGGCGUUACCCGCAGAAGAAGCACCGGCUAACUCCGUGCCAGCAGCCGCGGUAAUUC